rnacentral:rRNA from 1 species
CACGUAGGGCGCGAGCGUUGUCCGGCAUUAUUGGGCGUAAAUAGCUCGUAGGCGGUUUGUCGCGUCUGCCGUGAAAGUCCGGGGCUCAACUCCGGAUCUGCGGUGGGUACGGGCAGACUAGAGUGAUGUAGGGGAGACUGGAAUUCCUGGUGUAGCGGUGAAAUGCGCAGAUAUCAGGAGGAACACCGGUGGCGAAGGCGGGUCUCUGGGACGGUACUGACGCUGAGACGCGAAAGCGUGGGGAGCGAACAGG